rnacentral:rRNA from 1 species
CCUACGGGGGGCAGCAGUCGAGAAUCAUUCACAAUGGGGGAAACCCUGAUGGUGCGACGCCGCGUGGGGGAAUGAAGGUCUUCUGAUUGUAAACCCCUGUCAUGUGGGAGCAAGGGCGGGGACGUGUCCCGGCCCGGAGAGUACCCGGAGAAAAAGCAUCGGCUAACUCCGUGCCAGCAGCCGCGGUAAUACGGAGGAUGCGAGCGUUAUCCGGAUUUAGUGGGUUUAAAGGGUGCGUAGGCGGGCUUUUAAGUCAGCGGUAAAAAUUCGGGGCUCAACCCCGUCCGGCCGUUGAAACUGGGGGCCUUGAGUGGGCGAGAAGAAGGCGGAAUGCGUGGUGUAGCGGUGAAAUGCAUAGAUAUCACGCAGAACCCCGAUUGCGAAGGCAGCCUUCCGGCGCCCUACUGACGCUGAGGCACGAAAGUGCGGGGAUCGAACAGGAUUAGAUACCCCUGUAGUC